rnacentral:tRNA from 1 species
AGCAUUUUAGCUUAAUGGUAAAGCACUUGACCAGAGUCUUCAAGAGAUGUGAGUUCGAAUUCCAUAGCUGUUC